GAAUUUGUUGUAUAUGUUGUGAUAACCAUAUUGAUGCUUUGUUGUACAGAUGCGGGCACAUGGCACAUGUUCAAAAUGUGCUAGAGAGUUGGUCGAAGCAAGAGGAAAGUGUCCGAUGUGUCAUGCGCCUAUUCUAGAAAUGAUUCGUACUUACUCUUUAUGACAAAUUAGAUGACAAUAAAUACAAAAAAUGAGACUAAUAGUGAGAUUCGUUGAUCU